AUUUUAUAUGAUGACAUUAUACCGCCCCAGACUGAAUCUUAUGUUGAAGGUUUGAUCUGAGUAAUU